GCGCCAUUAGCUCAAUGGGUAGAGCAGCUGACUCUUAAUCAGCGGGUUCGGGGUUCGAGUCCCUGAUGGCGCA
rnacentral:tRNA from 2 species